GCCACUUUCUUACAAGUUGACGAUUAGCCAACCUGGCUUCCGUAUAUAUAUACUAUUGGAGACGAAAGUUACGUUUCCCCCGAAUGUAUAAUAAUAUAAAAUAAUAUAUAAUAUAAGUACGCCGUCCUAAACUUUCUGCCUUUAGCCUAACCAUAAGUAAAAUAAAAUAACAUUUUUCGGUUAGAUCAUUGUAAUCUGUGAAUAUUAUCAAGCGGAAAAUUUUAUUGAAUAUUUUUUUACGACGAAACUAUGACCCUUCACCAAAAUCAGUCUUGUGUCUAAUAUUUUCGCAAAAGUAUCAAUUGAAAUCUCAUUUGCAAUGAGUAAUGAAACUGUACUGUUUUUUCGAGGAAAUAACGAGGGAACACAUCGAGAGAUAUCAUCGUUGUUUAUGUGGACUACUUCCUCAGCCAAUUGAUGGAACGGGUUUGAAUGCUAAUGAUGUUUGGGAUGAUUCUGUUUUAAUCAAAGCAUAUGAUAAAGCUGUAAGCUUGGCAAAGGAAGAAGUUGCAAAACGACUUAGUAUAAACACUAAUCAUACUAAUCAGUAUGAUCAGAAAAAGUAUUAUCCGGCGAGUGCAACAGAAAAGAAAUGGGUUGUUGGGUCUCAUUGCCGAGCCGUCUAUUCGUUGGAUGGUAGAAUGUAUGAAGCAAUCAUCAUAAAAAUAUUCCAUGAUAUUGAUAAAUGUCUUGUCAAGUUCGUCGGUUAUGGAAACAUAGAGAAAGUAGAACUUUCAUCUUUAUAUACUUCAAGAGACAUAAAAAGUUCUUUAGAGCAACACGUAACUUCUGUUUCUUCGACUGAUAUUUCUAAGCAACAUAAUGCGAACAAACAAAAUAAUAAUGAUCGCGCUGGAAACAGACAUUCAACGAAUGAUGAUAUCCAUUCGUAUUAUAAGUCUUUUUCAUCAAAUUUAUCGGCUACUUCUGAAUUUGAAAUGCCGACAGCGCCACCACUUCCACCUCAAAUAUUGACACAACUUCCUAUUAAUAGUUCUGAUGCGCUUUCCAGUAUGCUAAUGUCUUGGUAUAUCAGUGGUUUUCACACAGUCCCAGUGACAGCAAUGGCUGCUACAGAUGAUAGGCUUUUGCUCCACCACCAACGUUUGAAGGCUGCUGAUGGAGUACUCCUUUCUCUGGUUUCCUGCUGGCCACCAACUGCUAGUGAGUAUACUAAGAGACUGCUACAACACAUCCAGCUGCGCACACAACAAAUUGGGGUGAAGUAGAAUGAGUUUAUCACUGCUUUGCCGAUAAAUAAAUCGCUGCCAGCCUAUUUUCUUGAGAGUAGCCUUUGGUUUCCCAAGUAACUGAAACACUCUGGAGGGCAGCAGCUUAUUAACCCAGACCUCGAAGUCUCGAGAAGAAAUCGGCCUGGCAUCCGGUGGUAGGUUUGCACAGAUAAGCAUGGAUGAAGACAACUUGCCGAGCUUGCGUUUGGCAGCAAUAGCAGAUUGCACAAGCGCCAGUCAAAGAGAGGGCACUGCGGAAGAAAAAGAAGAAGAAGACAAAGGCAACGAUUGGGAAAAACAACAGUAGAACUGGGAUGGGUAGAUCUAGAAGGCAAUCUGCGCAUAAACCUGGAUUGAUGAUGGCACCACAAAAUAGUGCAAUAAGUAGAAAGAUGUAAGAGACAGCAAAUAACCUCAAAGGUGGCUAAAAUUGACAGGUCCGGGACACAAAUCGUAACAAUAUGCAGUCACCAAGCAAUCCCGUGCUGAAAUUAUUAUGCGGUGUUUUAAACCGCAAAAAAUAGCAUGUGUAAUCUGCAACCAAAAAGCCCGAAGGCAAAAGAAACAGAUCGAAAAAGAAAAGUGUGUAAGUGUAUUUACAGAGAGAGAGAGAGAGAGAGUCUAAUGAAAUAGAUGAAGAAAUAUGUAAAAGAGAGUAUGAGAGAGUGGAUGAAGAAAUGCAUGAGAGUAUAAGAGAAUAGAUAAGAAAUGGCAUUAUUAAGAGUAUGAAAGAAUACUCUGUUCUUCUUACUUUGAAAUAAGCUUUAAUGAUUUCAAGAACAAACCGUCUCCUUACUCUUUGUUUUCGAAAAUGGCUGUGUUCAUUUUUAUUCAUUCGAGUGGAUUUAUUUAACGUACUCGGCUUUUUGUCACCGGCGACUUACACCUGAUUGGCUUAAUGUUAAGUUUUUAAAUUUUAUAUAUCUCUCAAAGUACUCAUUUGGAAAAAUUUUUGCAAUGGAACUUUUAUUCCCAUUUUCGUAAUUAUUUAUUAUUGUUAAAAUUAUUCGUAUUAAUAAUGUAUUCAAUAUACAUUGGAAAUUGACUUUAAUGUAUAACACAAUUUUCGUGUUGAAAAUACACGAAAAAAUGUACUUUUUUCAUUCAUUUUUCGUUACACGAAAAUUGUGUUACCAUUGUGUUGUUCAUAACUUAUCGACAUUUUUAUUAUGUUAAAUCGAAAUUUGUGUCAAUACUUUCAUUUAACACAAACAAUAAAUAUU